rnacentral:lncRNA from 1 species
CACGCUCGUUUUGAAACUUUGCUAUCUCGACGAUAACUUUUCUCUAUAACAGAACAAUAUCUCCAACGCUGAAAAAUCAAUCACUAUAUGAUCAGUUAUUCUAUGGCAAAGACCCUAAUAUUUGCAGGAUUCGAGUAUUUGGUUGUAAAAUUUUCCAUAAUCUUCGUCCAUAUAAAAGGAAUAAAUUCUCUUAUAGGUCGGACCCUUACAUUUUUAUUGGAUAUCUAAGGGAUUAUUGUAGGUACAUGUGUUAUAACCCUAAAUUUGGAAAAAUUGUGAUCUUGAAUCACAUUGCUUUCUUUGAGUCAAACAAUAGUCACGACUUAAGUCUUGUCAGUCAACAUGUAAGAAAUAAUUUCAUCUAAGACUCGGAGUUGCCAAUCAUCACCUCAGACAUUGAAAAGUACUCCUUCACUCUGUCAGCUCCUGUUCUUUUGGAUCAUUCUCCAACAUGAGAGGAUUAUGAGCAUGGUUUCCCCUCUUAUGAUUCUUCUCAUGUAAGAGUGGAUUAUGAACUUCUUUUUACCGAUUAUGAUUAGUCUCAGUCUACAUCUCCACCACCUCCUCCUCUUCCUACUCGCAAUCAUCAUAUGAUGAUGAGUCUUUGUCGUGGGAUUAGGAAACCAAAUUCAAAAUAUGUGAUGUUGAAUUCGGCUGCUCCAAUGGUUCCCACAGGCGCAACCAAUGCAUUGGAAAUUCCGGAGUGGAAGGAGGUGAUGAAUUGCGAAUAUAAGGCUCUCAUGGAUAACCACAAUUGGGAUCUUGUUCAACAAUUUCUUGAGCAGAAUGUCCUCAAUUGCAAAUGGAUUUUCCGAGACAAAUCAAAUGCCAAAGGAUCUUUAUUUUUUUAAGCAUAAAGCCAGAUUAGUCACCAACGGCAUGAGGCAACGAGAUGACUUGGACUAUAAUCAAACAUUUACGCUAGUCAUCAAACCAACGACCAUUCGGGUGGUUCUAUCUCUGGCAGUACAAUACGGUUCGUUCUUGAAUCAACUGAACAUAUCAAACGUCUUUCUCCAUGGUUUUCUCGAGGACAUUUACAUGAGAUAACCUUUGGGUUUUAUUGAUAAAGAUAAUCCAUAUAUGGUUUGCAAGCUUAAACGAUCGAUUUACGACCUGAAUCAGUCUCCCAGGGCAUGGUUGAAGAAAGCGAUACAAUGGGCGUAUAUAAAAGAUAGCAAAUACGGACGAUAAGAAUGAUUAGAAGCACACAAAUGAAGAGCAGCGAUGAUCGGAGACCGAAGGGGCAGAAGAUACGUAGGUUGGGAAUGGGGGUCUCCCUCAAUAAUAUUAAAAACAAAAUGACAGUUAGUCUGAUUACAAAACCUAACUAAUAAACAAAUUAAACUAAUAUUUAUACUAAGUGGAGAUUAACAGAUAAUGAUGGUGUGUAUUGGGCUAUUGGGCAAGUGAGUGUCAAAGUGAAUGUUUGUAUGAUGGAUGAAGGUUGUAGACCACCAUGAGUUCAUUUUAUAGCCUUCACUUCUUUAUAUAAUAAACUCUUUUUUAAUUUUAUUUAGAAAUCACUCUUUGUGAAAACGAGAUGAUGAAAAAUUUCAUAAAAAUAUAAUAUUUACUACACUUACCUAAAAUUUACUACACUUGGACAGUUAAAUGGACUAUGAGAUUGAUAUUUCUGUUAUCACCUGAAAUCGCUCCAUUUUAUUUAUUUAAACUUGUGUGAUUGCAACAGUCCAUCAUCCAUGUGUGUAAAUAAAGUAAAUAAUACUACUUGUAUUAUGAAUUUAUGAUUUAAUUCACAAUAAAUAAUUAAGUCUUUGAAUUCGAGUGUUCAACUAUUCUUGUGAUUUUAUCGAAAUUAAUUUCACAUUAAAUGAAAAUUUGAGAGUUUGAGUGUUAAAGUGUUGUGUCUUUAUGUUGGCCACUGAGAGUCUGUCGACAUAAAGUAAAAACUCUGACUCUGGUUUUACCACGAAAAUGAUGAUAUCAAAACAAAUUAUUAUUUUUAAAGUUUAUUUUCUUACCGGCGAUGAAACUUUAGAAAGAUCAAAAUCGUGCAGGUGGAGUGUCGAGCACAGUGGACAGUAGUAGUUGGUUGUCUGUAGAUGAUGUGAUGUGAGAGCAUAAAAAAAACUAUCUUCUUCCUUCUCGCUUCAUUACCACUUUUAUUCACCACAUGGGUACGAUGCAAGUGGAGCAAUGGAGACCCAGUUUGGCAGCUCCAUCAGCGCCGAUUUCGAUGAACUUCGACGAGCUAUCCAUGGAGAGGAGCAAGAGUUUCGUCAAUGCCCUACAGGUAAGAAAAAAAUAAAGAAAAAGAAGAAGUAACAUACCUGGAGACAGACCUCGUUUCUUUUUUUUCCAAUUGGGAGGGAAUUAAUUUUGGGAAUAGAUCAGAGAGGCUGAAACGGAAAUUUUGGGUUUGAUUCUUUGAUGUAGGAACUGAAGAGUCUUAGACCCCAGCUGUAUUCCGCCGCAGAGUACUGCCAGAAAUCAUACCUUCACAACGAGCAGAAGCAAAUGUAAGUAAGCAAAACUGAUGUCUUUACUUUUGUUUGAAUAAUAAUAACAACACGAGUUUGAGAGGAAAUUUUCAGGGUGUUGGAUAAUUUGAAGAACUACACCGUCGGAGCUCUGGUGAACGCAGUCGAUCAUCUCGGAACCGUUGCUUAUAAACUCACAGAUCUAUUCGAAGAACAAUCUUUCGAUAUUUCGAAACUAGAGCAAAGCGUAUCACGUUUGGAUCAGGUAGACGGUAGGCUGUACCUACCAAUCAAAACGAAAAGUUAAAUUUCUUCUUUUUCUUUUUCUUUCCUGAAACGAAUGAAUUUUUUGGGGGGAUGUAAGAAAAUCCAUACCUGCCAACAUUACACAGACAUCGAAGGGCUGGGACAACAGCAAUUGUUGGCACCGAUUGCGCGUCACCACAAGCACUACAUUCUGCCGAGCACCGAAACCGACACCGGAAGCGGGAGGAAGGGUGUUGGAUACGAUCGGAUUUCGUC